ACCUCGACAUGAAUCUUUCUGUGCUUGUUAGCAAAUCCAUGGCAUCUGACUCCAAGGGGAGGCGGAAGAGGAUCAAUCGGUCGCGGCAACCAGCGAUUGACACAAGGCGCGAAGGGGAUCGAGCCGCGUGUUGACUUUCUCGUCUGUUGUUUCUCCCAAAUCGAUGGGGGAGGCAGAACGCAGAUCCGAUGCUUGUUGGAUCAGCCAGCGCUCCACUCAUCCCCCUUCUAAAUCCCGCCUCCACUCGCGAGCGCUUGCCCUCGAAGAAGGUCACUGCGGUCCACGCCAUGGAGGUGGAUCUAUCGCGUGGGGCGCAGGGGAAGAAGGUAGCAUCGUUGCAGUGCUGCAGGUGGCGGACGUGCGGCUGCUAUCCGAGCUGUUCCAGAGCGUCAGUACCAAGAUCCUGUAGUACAAGAUGCUGCCCUCUGAUAGCGUCCACUAGUUGCAAGCUACGCCUGUGUCCAGUUUGAGCCACCUCGUCGCCAAUGGCACCUUUCACAGUGGCAACAUGCUCGAUCUUCCUCCAGUAUCACUGAAUCACCUUCCAGGGCCACAGCAAAGAUUGUGCCUACUCGUCUGCCUACCUUAGUGCUUCUGCAUAUAUCAUGUGUUAGCCCUGACCAGGAUGCAGCUACAGGAAUCGCCCCAAAAUACCCAACUUACAUGUGUUAUUUGAAUUCAAUGUAGAAACCCAAUUUACGUGUGUUACAUAUUUGGGGGGCCUUGCUUACCAACACUGCAUUUGCAGUAGUAGAGGCAGCAUCUAGGUAGAAGAUAGCAGAAAAGGCUUCAUGUCAUUCUCAAUAGAAGAUUGGUUAAAGCAUACUGAGGAAUGUUGAGUACUCUAUUCUGUUUGUGAU